rnacentral:rRNA from 1 species
CACGUAGGCACCAAGCGUUGUCCGGAUUUAUUGGGCGUAAAGAGCGUGUAGGCGGCUUUACAGGUCCGUUGUGAAAACUCGAGGCUCAACCUCGAGACGCCGGUGGAAACCGUAAAGCUAGAGUCCGGAAGAGGAGAGUGGAAUUCCUGGUGUAGCGGUGAAAUGCGCAGAUAUCAGGAAGAACACCCGUGGCGAAGGCGGCUCUCUGGGACGGUACUGACGCUGAGACGCGAAAGCGUGGGGAGCGAACAGG